rnacentral:rRNA from 1 species
AACGAACGCUGGCGGCAUGCCUAACACAUGCAAGUCGAACGAGACCUUCGGGUCUAGUGGCGCACGGGUGCGUAACGCGUGGGAACCUGCCCUUAGGUUCGGAAUAACUCCCCGAAAGGGGUGCUAAUACCGGAUAAUGUCUUCGGACCAAAGAUUUAUCGCCUUUGGAUGGGCCCGCGUUGGAUUAGCUAGUUGGUAGGGUAAAAGCCUACCAAGGCGACGAUCCAUAGCUGGUCUGAGAGGAUGAUCAGCCACACUGGGACUGAGACACGGCCCAGACUCCUACGCGAGGGAGCAGUGGGGAAUAGUGGACAAUGGGCGAAGGGCUGAUCCACUAAUGACGCGUGAGUGAUGAAGGCCGUAGGGUUGUAAAGCUCUUUUACCCGGGAUGAUAAUGACAGUACCGGGAGAAUAAGCGCCGGCUAACUCCGUG